GGGUGUAGCCAAAUCUGGUAAGGCAACAGUUUUUGAUACUGUGAUAUAUUGGUUCAAAUCCAUUCGCC
rnacentral:tRNA from 1 species